GUCCAGGGGCGGGAAUCGAACCCACAACGUUCCGCUUACCGGGAAGAUGCCAUGUCCACUAGGCUACCCUGGA
rnacentral:tRNA from 1 species